rnacentral:rRNA from 1 species
AGAGUUUGAUCAUGGCUCAGGACGAACGCUGGCGGCAUGCUUAACACAUGCAAGUCGAACGAAUAAGAGCCCUAGCUUGCUAGGGAGUUCUGUUAGUGGCAUACGGGUGAGUAACGCGUGGGUAUCUGCCUAAUAGUACGGAAUAACAGUCGGAAACGACUGCUAAUACCGUAUAUUCUCUCCGGAGGAAAGAUUUAUCG